GAACAGCAUGGUUUGUGAAUGAACGGUCAAAUCACACACGCAGACACUCGCAACACAACGCCUUGAAUCACUGCUUUAUUUCUGUGUCACGUUAGUACCGAGAAAACAAGGGUUGAAGGUCAAGGUCAACAAGGAAGUGAUGUCGUCACUGGUGGACGACCCUGGUCCUGUGCAGAGUUUAGUGCCAUCCCAGCACUAACUAACAGACUGGCUACGGCUGAUCAACUAAUCAUCAAACCUUGACUAUAGCUGUUAACGGGUGUGUUAGUGCUGGGUUGGAACUAAUCCCUGCACCCCAUGUGGGUCCCAUGGACCAGGAUUAAGAACAGUGAUCGAAACCAUUAUAUAUAUAUAUAUAUAUAAUGUUACAUAGGCUUGUCUCCCAAAUGGCACCCUAUUCCCUAUAUAGUGCACAACUUUCAACAUAGGGCUCUGGUCAACAGUAGUGCACUACGUAGGGUAUAGGUCAACACUAGUGCACUCCGGAAGGGAUAGGUCAACAGUAGUGCACUACAUAGGGCUUUGGUCAACACAUGUGCACUACGUAGGGGAUAGGUCAAGAGUAGUGCACUACGUAGGGGAUAGGUCAAGAGUAGUGCACUACGUAGGGGAUAGGUCAACAGUAGUGCACUACGUAGGGGAUAGGUCAACAGUAGUGCACUACGUAGGGGACUGGGUGCUAUGUAAGGGGCAGACAGAGUGAGAUCAGAGUAGAACUUAAAGACCUAAACUGAGAAAGUGACCUACUAUAUUGUUAAAACAAUUAGAAAAUAACAUGACAACUAUGGGAAAAGAACAUUCCUGUUAAAUGGCAGCAUGAAUGAAUGUAAGGCUGCGUAACUAAUGAAAACAUGAAUGAAUGUAAGGCUGUGUAACUAAUGGAAACAUGAAUUAAAGUAAGGCUGUGUAACUAAUGAAAACAUGAAUGAAUGUAAGGCUGCGUAACUAAUGGAAACAUGAAUGAAUGUAAGGCUGUGUAACUAAUGGAAACAUGAAUGAAAGUAAGGCUGUGUAACUAAUGGAAACAUGAAUGAAUGUAAGGCUGUGUAACUAAUGAAAACAUGAAUGAAAGUAAGGCUGUGUAACUAAUGGAAACAUGAAUGAAAGUAAGGCUGUGUAACUAAUGAAAACAUGAAUGAAAGUAAGGCUGUGUAACUAAUGAAAACAUUAAUGAAUGUAAGGCUGUGUAACUAAUGGAAACAUGAAUUAAAGUAAGGCUGUGUAACUAAUGGAAACAUGAAUGAAUGUAAGGCUGUGUAACUAAUGAAAACAUGAAUGAAAGUAAGGUUGUGUAACUAAUGAAAACAUGAAUGGAAGUAAGGCUGUGUAACUAAUGAAAACAUGAAUGAAAGUAAGGCUGUGUAACUAAUGAAAACAUGAAUGAAUGUAAGGCUGUGUAACUAAUGAAAACAUGAAUGAAAGUAAGGCUGUGUAACUAAUGAAAACAUGAAUGAAAGUAAGGCUGUGUAACUAAUGGAAACAUGAAUGAAUGUAAGGCUGUGUAACUAAUGAAAACAUGAAUGAAAGUAAGGCUGUGUAACUAAUGAAAACAUGAAUGAAAGUAAGGCUGUGUAACUAAUGGAAACAUGAAUGAAUGUAAGGCUGUGUAACUAAUGAAAACAUGAAUGAAAGUAAGGCUGUGUAACUAAUGAAAACAUGAAUGAAUGUAAGGCUGUGUAACUAAUGAAAACAUGAAUGAAAGUAAGGCUGUGUGUGUGAAAUAAUGAGAUGAAGAAGUCGGUUCAUUCCUUCGUCUGUGCAUUCUGUUCUCUGAAACAAAUUAUCGUCACGAAAGACAUUCGUAAAACAAUCCGCACAAACGUCGUCCAUCGCAGAUGAGCAACAUUUGAUUUGAACAUGACACCAUAAUGACUAUAAAUAAAAGAGAACUUGAUAAUGCAUUUAGGCUAUAAAUAGAAGAAGAACAUCUUCAACAGGUACUAUAGUAGUAUUCAGAUUAAUUACAUGAAAUCAACAUGUACAACAGGUACUAUAGUAGUAUUCAGAUGAUUUACAUGAAAUCGACAUGUACAAUGGGUACUAUAGUAGUAUUCAUGUGAUUUACAUGAAAUCAACAUGUACAAUGGGUACUAUAGUAGUAUUCAGAUGAUUUACAUGAAAUCGACAUGUACAAUGGGUACUAUAGUAGUAUUCAGAUCAUUUACAUGAAAACGACAUGUACAAUGGGUACUAUAGUGGUAUUCAGAUGAUUUACAUGAAAUCGACAUGUACAACAGGUACUAUAGUAGUAUUCAGAUGAUUUACAUGAAAUCAACAUGUACAAUGGGUACUAUAGUAGUAUUCAGAUCAUUUACAAGAAAACAUAAAUACAUAUAUACAUACAUUAUUCCAUAAACAUAAAUAAAUAGCAUUAUAAACACCCCAAAAUUAUUAGUUUUAAAUUAUGUUUUAUUGUUACAUACACCAUAGUAGUAUGAUAGGUGUUGUUUUACAGGGUCAGUCAUAGUAGUAUGAUAGGUGUUGUUUUACAGGGUCUUCCCAUAGUAGUAUGAUAGGUGUUGUUUUACAGGGUCAGUCAUAGUAGUAUGAUAGGUGUUGUUUUACAGGGUCAGUCCAUAGUAGUAUGAUAGGUGUUGUUUUACAGGGUCAGUCCAUAGUAGUAUGAUAGGUGUUGUUUUACAGGGUCAGCCCAUAGUAGUAUGAUAGGUGUUGUUUUACAGGGUCAGUCAUAGUAGUAUGAUAGGUGUUGUUUUACAGGGUCAGUCAUAGUAGUAUGAUAGGUGUUGUUUUACAGGGUCAGUCCAUAGUAGUAUGAUAGGUGUUGUUUUACAGGGUCAGCCCAUAGUAGUAUGAUAGGUGUUGUUUUACAGGGUCAGUCAUAGUAGUAUGAUAGGUGUUGUUUUACAGGGCCAGUCAUAGUAGUAUGAUAGGUGUUGUUUUACAGGGUCAGUCAUAGUAGUAUGAUAGGUGUUGUUUUACAGGGUCAGUCAUAGUAGUAUGAUAGGUGUUGUUUUACAGGGUCAGUCAUAGUAGUAUGAUAGGUGUUGUUUUACAGGGUCAGUCAUAGUAGUAUGAUAGGUGUUGUUUUACAGGGUCAGUCAUAGUAGUAUGAUAGGUGUUGUUUUACAGGGUCAGUCAUAGUAGUAUGAUAGGUGUUGUUUUACAGGGUCAGUCAUAGUAGUAUGAUAGGUGUUGUUUUACAGGGUCAGCCAUAGUAGUAUGAUAGGUGUUGUUUUACAGGGUCAGCCAUAGUAGUAUGAUAGGUGUUGUUUUACAGGGUCAGUCAUAGGUGUUGUUUUACAGGGUCAGUCAUAGUAGUAUGAUAGGUGUUGUUUUACAGGGUCAGUCAUAGUAGUGUGAUUGAUGUUGUUUUACAGGGUCAGUCAUAGUAGUAUGAUAGGUGUUGUUUUACAGGGUCAGUCAUAGGUGUUGUUUUACAGGGUCAGUAUAGUAGUAUGAUAGGUGUUGUUCUACAGGGUCUUCCCAUAGUAGUAUGAUAGGUGUUGUUUUACAGGGUCAGCCAUAGUAGUAUGAUAGGUGUUAUUUUACAGGGUCAGUCAUAGUAGUAUGAUAGGUGUUGUUUUACAGGGUCAGCCAUAGUAGUAUGAUAGGUGUUGUUUUACAGGGUCAGCCCAUAGUAGUAUGAUAGGUGUUGUUUUACAGGGUCAGUCAUAGUAGUAUGAUAGGUGUUGUUUUACAGGGUCAGUCAUAGUAGUAUGAUAGGUGUUGUUUUACAGGGUCAGCCCAUAGUAGUAUGAUAGGUGUUGUUUUACAGGGUCAGUCAUAGUAGUAUGAUAGGUGUUGUUUUACAGGGUCAGUCAUAGUAGUAUGAUAGGUGUUGUUUUACAGGGUCAGCCCAUAGUAGUAUGAUAGGUGUUGUUUUACAGGGUCAGCCCAUAGUAGUAUGAUAGGUGUUGUUUUACAGGGUCAGUCAUAGUAGUAUGAUAGAUGUUGUUUUACAGGGUCAGUCAUAGUAGUAUGAUAGGUGUUGUUUUACAGGGCCAGUCAUAGUAGUAUGAUAGGUGUUGUUUUACAGGGUCAGUCAUAGUAGUAUGAUAGGUGUUGUUCUACAGGGUCAGCCAUAGUAGUAUGAUAGGUGUUGUUUUACAGGGUCAGUCAUAGUAGUAUGAUAGGUGUUGUUUUACAGGGUCAGUCAUAGUAGUAUGAUAGGUGUUGUUUUACAGGGUCAGCCCAUAGUAGUAUGAUAGGUGUUGUUUUACAGGGUCAGCCCAUAGUAGUAUGAUAGGUGUUGUUUUACAGGGUCAGUCAUAGUAGUAUGAUAGGUGUUGUUUUACAGGGUCAGCCCAUAGUAGUAUGAUAGGUGUUGUUUUACAGGGUCAGCCCAUAGUAGUAUGAUAGGUGUUGUUUUACAGGGUCAGCCCAUAGUAGUAUGAUAGGUGUUGUUUUACAGGGUCAGCCCAUAGUAGUAUGAUAGGUGUUGUUUUACAGGGUCAGUCAUAGUAGUAUGAUAGGUGUUGUUUUACAGGGUCAGUCAUAGUAGUAUGAUAGGUGUUGUUUUACAGGGUCAGUCAUAGUAGUAUGAUAGGUGUUGUUUUACAGGGCCAGUCAUAGUAGUAUGAUAGGUGUUGUUUUACAGGGUCAGUCAUAGUAGUAUGAUAGGUGUUGUUUUACAGGGUCAGUCAUAGUAGUAUGAUAGGUGUUGUUUUACAGGGUCAGUCA